AAGCUAAUAUGGCUCCUGUUUCUUCACAAAGAAAUAGUCAAAAGAAUGUAAGGAAUGAAAUGAAGUUGGUAACAUACACGAAAGCUCCUCCCAUCCCCCCCCCUUUUAAAUAUUUGUAAAGCAAGGUGUACUAUUCGUGUCAUUCAGCUUUGGGAGGGAAAUAUGUAUGCAUAAAACAAAGCCGCUGCCUUCAAGGAGCAUAUGGCCAAGUGAAGACAGCCUAGCAGACUCCACCGUACCUGCCCAAGCAAGAUGCCAGGGGCCAGAGAGGGAGAGGAUGGUACAGAGAGACCUGCAUUCAAGUACCUACCUGUGCCCUAGGACUCCAAGGAGUGGCGCUCUACAGCGGAAGAGAACGGGCCUAAAAGAGAUAAGUAAACAGAACCAAACCUUCUUGUCCUUUCUGCAGAGAGACUUGUGCAGGUUUCAUUCUGAUCAUGUCCUUGGAUUCAGCUGCACGUGACAGAUAUUGUUCUUUCUAGCCCUGGUGUGUGUUUGCGCACACGAUGCAUGGGGAAACUAAAAUUUCUAAGGGCCUUGAUGGGUUCUCUAGUAGGGGGAAAAAAUAAAACAGGUAGGUUCGUUUGGAACGAACAUCCUUUGUCUUUGAAAGCAGCAAGUCAGCUCCCUUACCCCACCCCCUUUCUGUUUACUCGGGAGAAGGUAAAGCACAAACCCCACAUGUGGGUCCAGAC
rnacentral:lncRNA from 1 species